rnacentral:rRNA from 1 species
AUUAAACGCUGGCGGCAGGCCUAACACAUGCACGUCGAGCGAGCGGCGGACGGGUGCGUAAUGUAUGGGGACUGCCCGAAAGAGGUGGAUAACUACUGGAAACGGUAGCUACUACCGCAUACUAUCGGAUAACCCAUAUGGGAUUAGCUAGUAGGGGAGGUAAUGGCUCACCUAGGCGACGAUCCCUAGCUGGUCUGAGUGGAUGAUCAAACACACUGGGACUGAGACACGGCCCAGACUCCUACGGAGGCAGCAGUGGGGAAUAUUGCACAAUGGGCGCAAGCCUGAGGCAGCCAUGCCGCGGGUAUGAAGAAGGCCCUAGGGUUGUAAAGUACUUUCAGUCGGGAGGCGUUACCGACAGAAGAAGCACCGGCUAACUCCGUGCCAGCAGCCGCGGUAAUUC